rnacentral:tRNA from 1 species
UACAUUUUGGUGUARGGUGCACGUUAACUUUUGGUGUUAAGGGGGAAAGUUUAAUUCUUUUAAAUGUAA